AGUAAAGGUCAUUUGUUUGUAGAUUAAGAACUAUACUUACCUAUAAUAUUUUUACAAUGACGAACUGUAAUUUGGGUAUUUUUUUCCGUAGGCACAUUUCCGCGUUGUAAAAAAAUUAACGAUCAUAGAACACUCUAAAUAACAACCAGGCACUGCGUAUUUUUUUUAUAGUUGAUUUCAGCAGAUGGAAAAAAAAUUUAUGAAUCAUAAUGUAUUCGAUGGGUACUAAAACAUUGAAUAAUUCAAACCAUGAACUAUAGUUUGCAUUUUUACACAGUCAUGGUUCAUGGUGAAAAUCAAACCUUAAAGAAAUAAAAUUUCAUAUGCAAUUCUCCACAGAAUGUUGUAUUUCAUCUGUCCAUUUUUAGAAUAAGAAAUAUUCAAAUAUGUAUGUAAAUGAAUCGAA